CGCACAUUGCGCCCCUUGGUAUUCCAUGGGGCAUGCCUGUUCGAGCGUCAUAUAACCCUUCAAGCUUUGCUUGGUGUUGGGCGUUGUCAUUGCGACUCGCCUCAAAUCGAAUUUACUGGCAGUGGCAUAACGGUGCAGCACAUGUACCCGGCCCCGUCCGCUAAACCUUAAUUUGACCUCGGAUCAGGUAGGGAUACCCGCUGAACUUAA
rnacentral:misc_RNA from 1 species